UGAUUGGGUAAAUUACAGGUUAAAAGUAAUUACACCCAUUUAGAAGAUCUAACUCUCGAAGCUCUUGUUUCAUUUCUGGGCCUUCCUCUAUUUCCGAGCCUAGCAGUUUCUCUUUGAGUCAUAUCAUCUUUUGCAGUAUUUAUAUUCUCAUCACUAAUUCUGAUUAACUUGAUGUUAUUACCUCUAAUAUAACACUCAACCAUCUUAAAAAAACCAUUCCCAUCUCUUGAAUUACAAAUAACGUUAUUAAGUGCUAAGUUCAUAAAUCCAUCUACGCCUGUUAGUAUUCCAGAAUAUGUUUCUCCAUUUUUUAGCUCUACCAACUAAAUCAAUUAAGUUUUUCGCAUAGAUAGGAGUCAACUUACUAUUGGCCUGUGAUGAGCUGCCCUGAUUACAGAUAAAGGUAACUAAAAAUAUCGUCAAAUGUUAACAUCAAUUUGAACAAGUUUCAACCUACCACCAUAUCGAAAAAAAAUAAGAAAAUGAACAAAGACAAAGAGACGCGGGAUUCAAUACAAUUCAAUUCCAUGAUUCUAUAAAAAUUCUACCUUCAACAAACAUUUUUUUAAUAAUAUUUCUCGAACGAUUAUUAGAAAUGAUCGAUGCAACUUCAUUUUUGAUCCCUGAAACAAAUUCCUUUUUCCCACAGAUAUAUAUUAUUGAAUCAUUUUGAU
rnacentral:antisense_RNA from 1 species